rnacentral:rRNA from 1 species
UUAAGCGACUAAGCGUACACGGUGGAUGCCCUGGCAGUCAGAGGCGAUGAAGGACGUGCUAAUCUGCGAAAAGCGUCGGUAAGGUGAUAUGAACCGUUAUAACCGGCGAUGUCCGAAUGGGGAAACCCAGUGUGAUUCGUCACACUAUCGUUAACUGAAUACAUAGGUUAACGAGGCGAACCGGGGGAACUGAAACAUCUAAGUACCCCGAGGAAAAGAAAUCAACCGAGAUUCCCCCAGUAGCGGCGAGCGAACGGGGAGCAGCCCAGAGUCUGAAUCAGCUUGUGUGUUAGUGGAACGGUCUGGAAAGUCCGACGGUACAGGGUGAUAGUCCCGUACACCAAAAUGCACAGGCUGUGAACUCGAAGAGUAGGGCGGGACACGUGGUAUCCUGUCUGAAUAUGGGGGGACCAUCCUCCAAGGCUAAAUACUCCUGACUGACCGAUAGUGAACCAGUACCGUGAGGGAAAGGCGAAAAGAACCCCGGCGAGGGGAGUGAAAAAGAACCUGAAACCGUGUACGUACAAGCAGUGGGAGCACCUUCGGGUGUGACUGCGUACCUUUUGUAUAAUGGGUCAGCGACUUAUAUUCUGUAGCAAGGUUAACCGUAUAGGGGAGCCGCAGGGAAACCGAGUCUUAACUGGGCGUUAAGUUGCAGGGUAUAGACCCGAAACCCGGUGAUCUAGCCAUGGGCAGGUUGAAGGUUGGGUAACACUAACUGGAGGACCGAACCGACUAAUGUUGAAAAAUUAGCGGAUGACUUGUGGCUGGGGGUGAAAGGCCAAUCAAACCGGGAGAUAGCUGGUUCUCCCCGAAAGCUAUUUAGGUAGCGCCUCGUGAACUCAUCUUCGGGGGUAGAGCACUGUUUCGGCUAGGGGGUCAUCCCGACUUACCAACCCGAUGCAAACUACGAAUACCGAAGAAUGUUAUCACGGGAGACACACGGCGGGUGCUAACGUCCGUCGUGAAGAGGGAAACAACCCAGACCGCCAGCUAAGGUCCCAAAGUCAUGGUUAAGUGGGAAACGAUGUGGGAAGGCACAGACAGCCAGGAUGUUGGCUUAGAAGCAGCCAUCAUUUAAAGAAAGCGUAAUAGCUCACUGGUCGAGUCGGCCUGCGCGGAAGAUGUAACGGGGCUAAACCAUGCACCGAAGCUGCGGCAGCGACACUAUGUGUUGUUGGGUAGGGGAGCGUUCUGUAAGCCUGCGAAGGUGUGCUGUGAGGCAUGCUGGAGGUAUCAGAAGUGCGAAUGCUGACAUAAGUAACGAUAAAGCGGGUGAAAAGCCCGCUCGCCGGAAGACCAAGGGUUCCUGUCCAACGUUAAUCGGGGCAGGGUGAGUCGACCCCUAAGGCGAGGCCGAAAGGCGUAGUCGAUGGGAAACAGGUUAAUAUUCCUGUACUUGGUGUUACUGCGAAGGGGGGACGGAGAAGGCUAUGUUAGCCGGGCGACGGUUGUCCCGGUUUAAGCAUGUAGGCUGGUUGUCCAGGCAAAUCCGGAUAAUCAAGGCUGAGGUGUGAUGACGAGGCACUACGGUGCUGAAGUAACAAAUGCCCUGCUUCCAGGAAAAGCCUCUAAGCAUCAGGUAACAUUAAAUCGUACCCCAAACCGACACAGGUGGUCAGGUAGAGAAUACCAAGGCGCUUGAGAGAACUCGGGUGAAGGAACUAGGCAAAAUGGUGCCGUAACUUCGGGAGAAGGCACGCUGGUGUGUAGGUGAAGCCCCUGCGGGUGGAGCUGAGACCAGUCGAAGAUACCAGCUGGCUGCAACUGUUUAUUAAAAACACAGCACUGUGCAAACACGAAAGUGGACGUAUACGGUGUGACGCCUGCCCGGUGCCGGAAGGUUAAUUGAUGGGGUUAUCCGUAAGGAGAAGCUCUUGAUCGAAGCCCCGGUAAACGGCGGCCGUAACUAUAACGGUCCUAAGGUAGCGAAAUUCCUUGUCGGGUAAGUUCCGACCUGCACGAAUGGCGUAAUGAUGGCCAGGCUGUCUCCACCCGAGACUCAGUGAAAUUGAACUCGCUGUGAAGAUGCAGUGUACCCGCGGCAAGACGGAAAGACCCCGUGAACCUUUACUAUAGCUUGACACUGAACAUUGAGCCUUGAUGUGUAGGAUAGGUGGGAGGCUUUGAAGCGUGGACGCCAGUCUGCGUGGAGCCAACCUUGAAAUACCACCCUUUAAUGUUUGAUGUUCUAACGUUGGCCCCUGACCGGGGUUGCGGACAGUGUCUGGUGGGUAGUUUGACUGGGGCGGUCUCCUCCCAAAGCGUAACGGAGGAGCACGAAGGUUAGCUAAUCCUGGUCGGACAUCAGGAGGUUAGUGCAAUGGCAUAAGCUAGCUUGACUGCGAGCGUGACGGCGCGAGCAGGUGCGAAAGCAGGUCAUAGUGAUCCGGUGGUUCUGAAUGGAAGGGCCAUCGCUCAACGGAUAAAAGGUACUCCGGGGAUAACAGGCUGAUACCGCCCAAGAGUUCAUAUCGACGGCGGUGUUUGGCACCUCGAUGUCGGCUCAUCACAUCCUGGGGCUGAAGUAGGUCCCAAGGGUAUGGCUGUUCGCCAUUUAAAGUGGUACGCGAGCUGGGUUUAGAACGUCGUGAGACAGUUCGGUCCCUAUCUGCCGUGGGCGCUGGAGAAUUGAGGGGGGCUGCUCCUAGUACGAGAGGACCGGAGUGGACGCAUCACUGGUGUUCGGGUUGUCAUGCCAAUGGCACUGCCCGGUAGCUAAAUGCGGAAGAGAUAAGUGCUGAAAGCAUCUAAGCACGAAACUUGCCCCGAGAUGAGUUCUCCCUGAGACUUUAAGUCUCCUGAAGGAACGUUAAAGACGAUGACGUUGAUAGGCCGGGUGUGUAAGCGCAGCGAUGCGUUGAGCUAACCGGUACUAAUGAACCGUGAGGCUUAACCUU